GAUGAUGUUAAGAGAAGAUAAUGAAAAGUACUGGAAGCAGAAUGAACUUCCGCUUAAAUUUUAUGGUGGGCCGAUUCGCACCAAUCCACCACGGCGGCCGAGUUCUACCGGCAGAUCCAGAAAUAUUCGGCCUCUUCUCAUCGGUCGACGCUCCCGUUCUUCGUCCUAUCGAUCUCUUCGAGCGCCGGCGAAGAAAGAGUGAGUCCUCGGCCGGCUUUGGCCAACCUUCCAGGACACCUUUUCUAUCAGGUUGGUGUAACAUGGCCUCAGAACCGAAGGUGCAAAGAGUUGCGAGUUAUAAUCUUGGUUGGUUGCAUCCAUCAUGGCUACCGUUCCAGCUUGGGCUGUGCUGAUAAGAUCAUUGAUAUUCGGCAGCGCAUUAUCGUUUUCAAUGUCGGAUUCUGGCGUUAUGAAGCUGUCUGACACUGUGUCGUCGACCGAAUCCAUGGUCGCUAUGGAUGACGACUUCUUCUGCCAGCUAGUCUGUACUCAUGCAUGAUCCAAUCUGUCUUCGUUCCUUGCGGUGCCUUCCCGGAGUAAAAGACCAAAGCUUUCUUGAUCCCGACUGUCGUGUUGCCUUCCUUUGGCACGACCGGCUUAUCCGCCCCGGUUGCCUUCCAGUAUCCUUUCCCAGCGGCCCUAUUCGGUCUCGAUCCAUUCGGGUACUUCCUGUCCCGAGGGGUGAAGAAAUACCAUUCCUUUUGGCCAAACAACGCCUUGUCUGCAAAACACAUGAGUGGGGCGUUCAGAAGCUAAGCUUCGAGUGUUUGUUCUAUCAUUUCAUGUUGCAUUAGUUUUGUACCUGGAAGUUCCCACGGGUCGUGCUUGUAAAGAUCGACCUCUGCGAUGAUAGGAGCUGGCAGGUACUGUCCGGCGGCCUUCCGGCAGAGGUAGUGCACGACGAGCUCCUCGUCGGUGGGGUGGAACCUGAACCCUGGUGGCAAGUUGAGCUCGGCUUCAGCGUCUCGUUUCCUUGCCAUCUUUGCUCUCAAAUAACUUCAAUUCAGAUGCGCCCUUCGUAAAUGGAUGCCGACUGCCGAGGCCGAGUGGGCCCGCGAGGCAACAGGCCCCGGCAUCCAGGCAGCUUCGUGUGCUUUCCAUUAGUCAAAGGCGGCUGACUAUCUUCCAAAGCAUUGUCACCGUGGUGGAGACCACCGUGAGAGCUCGGAUUCCACAGACCUACCUCCAUUACGAAAAUUAGUAAUUACAGGCAUGUCGACGAGAUAUUACAUCUACUGUAGAUCUCUGGACUCGUCGACCGAUGGGACGUGGUAGAUCAGGUCCAUUGAACGAGGGGGAAAAGGUCAAUAAAUGCACGGGAGAAGAAAUACUGAAACAGAUGGUGGGAGACAGAAUGUUUCGCAGUCACACCACCUAGCUUUCCUAGAUUUUGAAAAGCCUGCGUUUCGCGAAUUCGCUGGCUGUGACUUGCACCAGAUACGCCCGGUGCGUUGCAUGUGCCCGGGCGCUGUCCUGCUCACGAGCUCGUGUUUCCACCGCUGGUCUCUUUCUUUGUUGGCACGCAACUGAACUGGCCUUCGACGGCUGAGGAAAUUUUACCGAUUCAACGGGUUUGUUUGGGUCUGUUGAUGUCCGGGCGAGGCAUGCGAGUCGGGGCCAGUUCGGCACCUGAGACUCUGCUGCCGCUGCUCGACUCAAACGCCGUGUUCUGCCGUGCGAGUGUGCAGCGGUGGCAAGCUAUUACACGAGUGGGUUUAGUAAGUUGAGCACAGUGGCCAGUCGUUUUCCUUGACUCAUUAUUUCUGUCACGUGUUCAAUUCGAAUUUACUUGAUAAUAAAGUAAGCAACCUGAGGUGGAAGGCA